CCACUACAGCAAAGAUUACACAUCCAUUGCAGAGUGAAAGUUUCAAUCCCGAUGCAAUUUCCUUCAUCACUGGAGCUGGGCAGAGUCGUGAAGAGAAGACCAAUCUUUUUCCUGGAUGAUAGCACCAGAACGAUAUCUCUUCAGAAUAUCCAGCUGACAAACUGAUCACAGCAAAGGUCAGUGUCACUAGCAUGACAGAGGGAACGGCAAGCAGUAACCCAAAAUGAACAAUCUUCCUUGCUCCAAAAGGGAAAACACUGGCACACAACUAGAUGGAGAGGCGCCAAGACCAGUGGGCAUU